AUUGAACGCUGGCGGCAGGCUUAACACAUGCAAGUCGAGCGGGGUGAUGGUGCUUGCACUAUCACUUAGCGGCGGACGGGUGAGUAAUGCUUAGGAAUCUGCCUAUUGGUGGGGGACAACAUCUCGAAGGGGAUGCUAAUACCCAUUAGGUCCUACGGAGGAAAGCAGGGGAUCACUGGUGACCUUGCGCUAUUAGAUGAGCCUAGGUCGGAUUGGCUAGUUGGUGGGGUAAAGGCCUCCCAAGGCGACGAUCUGUAGCGGGGCUGAGAGGAUGAUCCGCCACACUGGGACUGAGACACGGCCCAGACUCCUACGGGAGGCAGCAGUGGGGAAUAUUGGACAAUGGGGGAAACCCUGAUCCAGCCAUGCCGCGUGUGUGAAGAAGGCCUUAUGGUUGUAAAGCACUUUAAGCGAGGAGGAGGCUCUUUUGGUUAAUACCCAAGAUGAGUGGACGUUACUCGCAGAAUAAGCACCGGCUAACUCUGUGCCAGCCGCCGCGGUAA
rnacentral:rRNA from 1 species